UGCUACAACCGCCCUGUAACGGGAUGGGAUCUGAAGGCUCCUGAAGAUUCCAUCCAACUCCUAUUCCGACACUUUCACGUCGUGCAGGGUACAUGAGCCAUACAUGGGCCCAAGUCCAGCCAUUCGGCUGGAUAAAGGCUCAUGGCUUAAAAGGAGGGG
rnacentral:ribozyme from 1 species